CCCUUCGAUGUUCUGGGCCGCACGCGCGCUACACUGACGAAUGCAACGAGCUUAUAACCUUGGCCGAAAGGUCUGGGUAAUCUCCAAAUUUCGUCGUGAUGGGGAUAGAUUAUUGCAAUUAUUAAUCUUCAACGAGGAAUGCCUAGUAAGCGCAAGUCACUAGCUUGCGCUGAUUACGUCCCUGCCCUUUGUACACACCGCCCGUCGCUCCUACCGAUUGAAUGAUCCGGUGAACCCCUCGGAUUGGUCAGACCAGUUGGCGGGGCAACUCGUCAGCUUCUGGCCGAGAAGUUGGGUAAACCUUAUCAUUUAGAGGAAGGAGAAGUCGUAACA
rnacentral:rRNA from 1 species